rnacentral:lncRNA from 1 species
CCAAACAUUAAACCAUUCUCCUGCAACAAAAAUGAUUACUCUAUUCAGCUCAAGGUAGGAAAAUCAGCGAAUUUUCAUUAGGUUUGAAGUUCUGUUAAACUGCUUUUUAGUCGCCUAAAGCAGAACAAAAUUGGUCCCCACUAAUGUAAUAAAGGGAUAACCAAGAUAUCAAUCCGAAGACUCGACAAAAUUAAAUUUCAGAAUGUAGAGUUAAAGUCUUA